AAUAUUCAUGCUCACAUAUCCCGUACAUUAUAUAUUAGGUAUUCACCAACUCCAAGCUUACAAGAAUAACCUUCCAACAAAAUUUACAAAAAUGUUAAACGGGAAUUCAUUGCCGCCGCUGACCUGCACAAGCCGAUUGCACGUCCUGAGUCUACCCAUAUGCCGCACCUGCACCGCGAUGCCAAAGUCACAGAGUUGUUGUAACUACAACCAAUGUUUAUUAGAAGUACAUGCAAAGCUAACCCAAUAAAAAAGACAUACCAGAAAAUCCAACAAAGAAUCAAAACAUCCAACAAUUAAAGCACGUACCAUAAAUAUUAAUAGAUCUACACCAAUGUAUCUCCUUAAUUUAUAACCAUCCAAGACACCAGUAAUCUAAAUCCACUCAAAUCAAUCUUGAUUACUUAAGAUUUUCCUCUGCAUCGCUUACUUGGUUUUAGUUUUUUGUGCAACCUACAGUUACCUAUAUCUUACAAGUUAUACGACUGUUGUGUCCAUUUAUACAGUAAUUGAGAACCAAAUGAGUUCUAGAACAUUGGCGUUCAAACUGUACUUAACUUUUUGUGCCGAGAUGAAAAUGUUCAUGCUUACUACUUUAUUGUUGUCUGCUUCCUAGGUCCUAAACCUAAUUUUUUGCUAUUUGGUAUUCCUCUAUUAUAUAAAAAAGCCAGAAAAUUUUGCUCCAAAUAACCUGAAUUUAUUUUCUUGCUUGAUUUUGCAUUAGACUGAGUUAAGCGAAAGGGAUAGCAUCGUGAUGAGGAAGAAAAUGGACAAUGCUCAAGAUAAUUACUCCCAAAACUAAGCAUUGUUUAGAGCUGCACUUCUUAAAAGAAUUGUAGUUACUCUCAGCCACCUAGCGAUGCACAGUUCUUUGUGCAGUUGUCAAGUUCUUAACAGUGAGAUGUUACACCUAAUAUUUUAUCCCGGUGAAUAAGCCAUGCCAAAAAUGGAUACAUGGAUUACAAGUGUUGUGAAAGUCACGAGAGAAGAAUUUUAAGGUUAUCAAGAGGCAAGCCACUUACCUUUACUUCCACUUACCAAUAUUGUGCUUGUAGACCAUUGUACGUAAUAUUGAGGAUUGUCCAAUCAACUCGAGCCAGAGACGUAACAACCUACAGUAUUAACUCCGUCCAGCGACAACAACACCUCCAGCAGGUAUCAUCUUAUGCGCGACAUCAAGCCAUUUGCAUGAUUCACUGUAUGCCAGACUGAUGAAUAGAUAAACAAUACUUGAUCAAUAAAUCUUUCUAAAAUAGAAAAAGUCAAUCUGUACAUUGCAGAUUAAUUAACAUUACCACAGAACUAUCCCCAUGCUUAGUACAUACAUACAUGUAGGUUCUUUGCUAUAUUACUUACUUUAGAAACUAAAGUUUCUAUUUCAUUUUAUAUCAGAUUGAUGAACUGGCCAUUGACCAUUGAUCAAUGAUACUUUAAUUAUAUUCAACAAAGUGCUCAUUUAGAUAGACUGGACAAAGAUAGCCUAAACAAUCACUAUAUGUGCAUGCCGAAAUAAUAAAAGUAUAAUAUGACUGUUUCCUUGACAUACUUACAUUUCCCUUGAGCUAAUACUUACAUUUUCACGGUUUCCUUGGAAAACAAAAAAACUAAACAUUAAUAUAAUUUGUUUACCUAUUAUAUUAGUUACAUUAAUGAUUAACAUGACAAUUUCCUUUUUAGGGCCUCCAAUAGUAUGGUAUGUACACUGUUGAAUCCAUUGGCUAUAAGCAUUGGGACAAGAAAAAAUAAGCUCAAAGUUUAAGGCUCUGGGACACAAUCAACUUAUCUACCAAUGAACUUAUUAGCACUAAUAUGAUUUUAACACAUAAAUAUAUAGUUUGCUUUUUUUAAUUCCUUUUCAUCAUUCAAAGUUUGCUAAUAUUCCCUUUGUAUCUUGGGCAAUACGACCCGUGCUUCUAUUGGGAACAAACUGUUCAACAAGUUAGCCAAAAAUAAAGGGGACUCUACCUACAUAUUUAACACCUUUGAAGUUUUGGGAGUGUGAAUUGUUUUGACCAUUGAAGAACAAUCUAAAAAACAGUUUCCUUUUUUAUAUAACAGUGAAGAAAGUUGAGGAAAGAGUUUCAGAUUUUUUUCGGGCUAAACUUGAAAGUUGUUGAUGGAGAUACCUUAGAGAGUAGGGUAAAUAUUGGUAAAAGAGUGUUCAGGUAUGUAUAUUCAUGAAACGAAGUGGCUGAAAAUGUGAAAAUGUACAUCUACGGUGAGCAUACUCUCCAUCAUAUUAGGUACACACUAAAACUCAAGAGAAGCGAUGAGAUGGUAACAUAACAUUUAUCAUGUUUAUUGAGGUAGCACAAAGACGUUUAGGCAGCAUCUGUGCAUCUACUACUAUGAUCAUUUGGUGGAAAUAGUUCAUUACUACCAAACAUCGACAUAUAUAUUAUUUAGUGCAAACCAAUAGUGGGAGCAUCGGGAGAUUGCUAUAUAUCAUAUGUAUAAUGUGAUUAGACCUGUUUUCAUAUUCAGUUAUUUAUCUUAUUUUUUCUUUGGGAAAAAUUAAAACUACAGCUAAUCACAAAUGUACCAAUUAUUGAAGUUUGUUGAAUAUUAAGGCCUAACACUGCCAAUGCCGGUCAAAAUCCCGGAAAAAAGUGGAAGGGGCAUAAAAAAAUUAACACUAUGCCUUAAGAUGGAAGUAGUAAAACAUCUUAUAAAAGUUUAUAGAGGGAGUAUUUAGCAGUAAAACAAAACUCUCAUCAUUUAGUACCUUCAUCGCACGUCAAUCAAAUGUACUAAUUUGCAUUGGUAUGUCUGCUCAGACAUAUACUUACAUUUUUACAAUUUCACAAACUUAUCAGUAUCGACCUCAUUGAACACUUAAAGAGCACUUAAACAAAAGAAUUGUAUGUAUUCCAAAUUUUGGAAGAAAAAUGACCAAACAUUUACCACUAAUAGGCAUCUACUUAAUAACAAUAUAUUGGUUGAGUCGAACAAAAAAUGUUAAGAAAAGGGGGGACAUAUGAGUAAAGAACAGGAAAAUGGGGGACCUGCAGGUCGGACUUCGAACUUCGGAAAAUGUCGACACCUUGGAGGAUGACAACGACGUGCCGGGCUACCUGGAGCGAGAAUACCAAUGAUGUUUCUGGCUUGCACACUUGGGGAAGACAACGUCGCCAGCAUCCUAAUACUCAAGAUGGAUCCAACCGGGCUGCAUGAGACGACAUUCUGCCCAAAUCAACUGCACGGACGCCAAGAACACCGACACCGUGCAGAUCAAUGAUUCCUUGCUACACUUGAUCCUUGGACCCGACUACUCCUCAAUCGCCAUUCAACAGCGUACGAGACUGAGGAGACAUACGAGAAGCCAUACUAGCCGCCGCUGAUGGACACAAUAUGGAAGCACCGGUUGCGAAUCAAGAGAGCAAGUUGAUGGGAGCUAUCCAGCGGCAGCAAUUUUGGAGUGAGCAGAUAGAAUAAGGAAAGGAGAAAGGGGAUCGGGCGAGAGGGAGUGUGAGUGGGUAAGAUGAACUGAGAAGUCGAGAAGACUAUAGAAUGGGGAAAGUGAA
rnacentral:lncRNA from 1 species